rnacentral:rRNA from 1 species
UACGUAGGGGCCGAGCGUUGUCCGGAAUUACUGGGCGUAAAGAGCUCGUAGGUGGUUUGUCGCGUUGUUCGUGAAAACUCACAGCUCAACUGUGGGCGUGCGGGCGAUACGGGCAGACUGGAGUACUGCAGGGGAGACUGGAAUUCCUGGUGUAGCGGUGGAAUGCGCAGAUAUCAGGAGGAACACCGGUGGCGAAGGCGGGUCUCUGGGCAGUAACUGACGCUGAGGAGCGAAAGCGUGGGGAGCGAACAGG